rnacentral:tRNA from 6 species
GCGGGUGUAACUCAGUUGGUAGAGUGCAACCUUGCCAAGGUUGAUGUCGCGAGUUCGAGUCUCGUCACCCGCUCCA